rnacentral:rRNA from 1 species
UACGUAGGGUGCAAGCGUUGUCCGGAAUUAUUGGGCGUAAAGAGCUCGUAGGCGGUUUGUCGCGUCUGCUGUGAAAACCCGAGGCUCAACCUCGGGCCUGCAGUGGGUACGGGCAGACUAGAGUGCGGUAGGGGGGAUUGGAAUUCCUGGUGUAGCGGUGGAAUGCGCAGAUAUCUGGAGGAAUACCGGUGGCGAAGGCGGCAUCCUGGACCGGCAUUGACGCUGAUGAGCGAAAGCCAGGGGAGCAAACGGG